UUACGGCCAAAUCACGUUGAAACAUCGAUUCACGUACAAUCACCGAAGUUAAGCAACGUCGAGCCUGUUUAGUAUCUAGAUGGUUGAUCGCUUGGAAAUACUAGAUGCUGUAAG